CACUCCCUAGGCAAAGGAGAACAAUAAGAGGCAGGUAAAGCUGGAGCCCGUAACAGGAAGAAACGUGAGCAUUGAAAACCCUCCCUUUGGAUGAACUGACCACAGCUGGACAACACCAGUGCCAGGCCAGGGUUCCAAGCACUGCAGAGAUGAAGCACCUUCUUCCAGCAGCUCCUGGAGUUCUCAGAAGCCAGAGUGGACUUGUUCCUCCAUUUUAUUUGAUGAGAGUUCUAAAUACAGUUGGGCAAGGCUUCGGAUAUUAGUGGGAGAUGGCCAGAGGCGAAGCAACGAUAAAAGCAGCUGAAU